GCACAAGGUUGUAACAAUAUUGUUAUGUCAUGACUGUAUCAGACUUGUUGGAACAACCUUGCUACAAAUCUGAUAAUACCAACAAGCUUGUUAAAAGCUGUUAACAAGCUUGAUGGCAUUAUCACUGUUACAAGUUUGAUACAGUCACGAUAUAACAAGAUUGUUACAAGGUUGACGACACAAGGUUUACGAGUUUUUAAAACCAAAGCAAGCUUUCAUAGACAGAUGGUCACUCGGGAAAUAUUUGUUCGGGCAGGCUACCAGGGGUUUGAUAACGUCUUCUGUGACAUGUUGUAAUACAGCAUUCACCUUCAGUGUACCCGAGGAAUACCAGAUGUAGUCCAAUGUCCCCUUCAUCACCUCGAAUCCAUACAGCCGAGGAAAUUCCUUGUUGAUUUGAUAAUGAGUGAGUAACGGUUCUCGUCCC
rnacentral:lncRNA from 1 species